rnacentral:rRNA from 1 species
GGAUGAAGGCCNUUCGGGUUGUNAACCNNUUUUCAGUANGGAAGAAGCGAAAGUGACGGUACCUGCAGAAGAANNNNCGGCUAACUACGUGCCAGCAGCCGCGGUAAUACGUAGGGNNCAAGCGUUAUCCGGAAUUAUUGGGCGUAAAGAGCUCGUAGGCGGUUUGUCGCGUCUGCCGUGAAAGUCCGGGGCUUAACUCCGGAUCUGCGGUGGGUACGGGCAGACUUGAGUGAUGUAGGGGAGACUGGAAUUCCUGGUGUAGCGGUGAAAUGCGCAGAUAUCAGGAGGAACACCGAUGGCGAAGGCAGGUCUCUGGGCAUUAACUGACGCUGAGGAGCGAAAGCAUGGGGAGCGAACAGGAUUAGAUACCCUGGUAGUCCAUGCCGUAAACGUUGGGCACUAGGUGUGGGGGACAUUCCACGUUUUCCGCGCCGUAGCUAACGCAUUAAGUGCCCCGCCUGGGGAGUACGGCCGCAAGGCUAAAACUCAAAGGAAUUGACGGGGGCCCGCACAAGCGGCGGAGCAUGCGGAUUAAUUCGAUGCAACGCGAAGAACCUUACCAAGGCUUGACAUGAACCGGAACGGCGCAGAGAUGUGUCGGCCACUUGUGGCCGGUUUACAGGUGGUGCAUGGUUGUCGUCAGCUCGUGUCGUGAGAUGUUGGGUUAAGUCCCGCAACGAGCGCAACCCUCGUUCCAUGUUGCCAGCGGGUUAUGCCGGGGACUCAUGGGAGACUGCCGGGGUCAACUCGGAGGAAGGUGGGGACGACGUCAAAUCAUCAUGCCCCUUAUGUCUUGGGCUUCACGCAUGCUACAAUGGCCGGUACAAAGGGUUGCGAUGCUGUGAGGUGGAGCUAAUCCCAAAAAGCCGGUCUCAGUUCGGAUUGAGGUCUGCAACUCGACCUCAUGAAGUCGGAGUCGCUAGUAAUCGCAGAUCAGCAACGCUGCGGUGAAUACGUUCCCGGGCCUUGUACACACCGCCCGUCAAGUCACGAAAGUUGGUAACACCCGAAGCCGGUGGCCUAACCCCUUGUGGGAGGGAGCCGUCGAAGGUNGGANCCGGCGA